rnacentral:rRNA from 1 species
UACGUAGGGUGCGAGCGUUAAUCGGAAUUACUGGGCGUAAAGCGUGCGCAGGCGGUUUUUUAAGCCAGAUGUGAAAUCCCCGGGCUUAACCUGGGAACUGCCUUUGGAACUGGAAGACUAGAGUACGGCAGAGGGGGGUGGAAUUCCACGUGUAGCAGUGAAAUGCGUAGAGAUGUGGAGGAACACCGAUGGCGAAGGCAGCCCCCUGGGCUAACACUGACGUUCAGGCACGAAAGCGUGGGGAGCAAACAGG